rnacentral:pre_miRNA from 1 species
UUAAUACUCCCUCCGUCCAACAAAGGAUGUCUCAACUUUAACUAAAUUUGAAUGCAUCUAUACACUAAGUCAUGUCUAGAUACAUCCAAAUUUUGACAAACUUGAGACAUCCUUUGUUGGACGGAGGGAGUAUGUA